GGCCGUCAUCGCCAUCAGAUACUCCACCUUUGACCCCAUCGGAGACCCCACCUGAUACUCUGCCUGAGACCCCUCCUGAAACCCCGCCUGAGACUCCGGAGACUCUUCGAGAGUCGCCUGAGGCACCUCAGGAGACUACCGAGACCGCGGUGCCCCCGAUCACACGCCGAGACUCGGGCUUCGCGCCCGACUCCGCCGCCACGACGCGUCCCAACUCGGCCGGCGGAGCCGCCGUAGCCACGAUGCCGACCAAAGAGAAGAAGAAAGACGAGAGCAAGCGCCGCCUGCGCGGCCUGCAGCUGUUCAGGCGCUCCAAGAGCAAGCCGGCGCCGGUGCUUACGCCGCCGCCGCUCACCGCCAUGCCGGCACGUUCGGUGUCUGUAUCGGCGUCUGGCGAGCCACCACUGCCAGAGUUUUUCUCAGAGGUGGCUGCGCUGCGCCACUCAGCUGACGACCUAUCCUCCAUCGCUGGUGACCGCGAAUCCUCACCCUCGGGCCGUGACCUGGCCCUGUCACCGGUCUCCAUGUCACUCCACUCGCUCUCCGACCCUGCCCCACUCCAAACCCGACUGACGCCCUGGGAUACACCCUCCCUGGACCCACACAUGACCUCAGUGACCUCCGACCCGCGCGGCGCGGUGACCAGUUCACCAACCAACGGCGACUCUCGGCGCACCACCGAGACUCUCCGUCAGCGCGAGGAGCGAGAGCAAGUGGUGAGAGUGAGGAAAGUCACCACGGACAUGGAUCAGAUCUCGGUGCCGGUCAGUCAGGGCGCCGACCCGGAGAUGCUCCGCUCCGUCAUCAUGGAGAAGAUGCGAGGAAUGGGGAACAUCGGCGAUCAGAUGCCUGACACGCAGUCUGAGCCCGCGGUGGCCCUACCAGAGUCGCCCAAAAAUGGGGUCUUCAGUCCCGGCGGGAAGGGCAGCCAAAUCUCCAAAUUCACCAUCACCGCCGACCCCUUAUCCAGCUCACAGGUCACAAGCGCCAACAACUCAUCGACUCGUUUCGCUGCGAAGCGCUCUCAGCUGAUGUCCCGUCAGCUGUCGAGCUCCACCAGCACGAGCUCCAGCAGCGCCGAGCAGCGUCAGGCGUCUCACGACUCCUCCGAGCGGGUGACCGCCUCCUCCUCACAAUCCGAGCUGCAGAACUUCAACCACCGCAAGGUGUCGCAGACGCAGAUCGGCGGCAGCUCCAACGGCCUCUCCUCGUCGGCAGUGACGUGCGUCACGGCCAGCACCGCCAGCACCAGCUCCCGCGCCGUCAGCAGCGCGCUCAGCUCCCAAUCCACCCUCACGUCCACGGCUGGCGUCAGGGAGGUUCAGGCGGGCGCCGCCAGGGCGGCGCUACAGUCGCAGGCCUCGGCCGCCUCGUUUGCCUCGGCCGCCAAUGCGCGGCAGCUCGCUAAGAGCUUUGAUUCGCUCAAAAGCAUGUCCAUGGAUAAGCUGAAGGACUCGCUAUCCAUGGAGAAGUUGGAUGAUCGAGACCUACUCAACAUCGACCUGGGCAGUGAGGGUGGCUCCCGCGACCCGAACGUUCAGGUUUUCGAGCAGAAACAAUCCUACUCCACCUCAAACAAGAAGUUGGUGACGAAUGACUUCAGUGCCGAGGAGGCGACGGCCAACAGUGAGCAGAUGACGCACCUGCAGGAGGGCGACACCUCCUACCGGGAGAACAAGGCCAGCUCCGACAUGAGGGCCAAGCUGGAGAUGAACGGCAUCACCGCCGAGAAGGGGCUCUCCACACGACAGGAGGCGCGCCAGCUGAAGGCCAAAGACGUCUCACACCAGGAGUCGCGCUCAGCAGCCGUGGCCGGUGCCAAACUCUCAGCAGACGGCUUCAGCACACAGAAAAUCGCGAUGGAGCAGAACCAGCAGCGGCAGACCAAGGCGGCCGGUGUGGUGAACCAGGAGCAGAGCUCCAAGAAGUCUACCCACUCCAAGUUCACAAUCAACAACCGAACGGGAGUCGCCACACCGUCCAGUCCGGCCGUGGCAUUCGCCGUGGAAGAGCUGGAGCAGCUAGAACGGAGCACCAACCCCCUGGACGUCAACCAGGCGGUCAUCAAAUGCUCGCAUCACAUGUCUACGAUGGUGCGGAGCCUUGAGUCGUCAGAACCAGAGAAGUUCGGCUCAAUCUUUGAUGAGAUGGACGUGAUGCUGCGGCGCGCCUGGUCCGUUCCCACCUACGGCCACGAGCUGGGGAAUUCACUGUGUGAUGUGAUGCGAGCCAACGGAGGACUGGACGUGCUCAUCAGCUCGUGCAACACGGGCAGCAAGGAGAUGGACCUGAAGAGCGCGCGAGUGCUCGAGCAGUGCUUGACAACAGAAAACCGACAGUACGUGGUGGAACGCGGUCUGGAUAAUGUGGUCCGCUCCGCCUGUCGCACCUGCUCAGAAAAGUCUGACGAAGAGGAAUCGCGAGUCGGUUCUGGCAUCCUGGAACAUCUCUUCAAACACAGUGAGGGAACGUGCAGUGAUGUGGUCCGGAUGGGCGGUCUGGACGCGGUUAUAACACAGUGCAAGAACAAAGACCUGGAGACGUUGCGGCACUGCGCGUCGGCGCUGGCCAACCUGGCUCUGUACGGCGGGCCCGAGAACCAGCAGGCCAUGAUGAAGCGAAAGGUGCCCACCUGGCUGUUCCCGCUCGCCUUCCACAGCGACGACAACAUCAAAUACUACGCGUGCUUGGCCAUCGCCUCGAUGGUCGCCAACAAGGAGAUCGAGGCUGCCGUGCUCAAGUCGGGCACGCUCGAUCUCGUGGAGCCUUUCGUCACGUCUCACGAUCCGGACCAGUUCUCCAAGUCGAGCGUGGCGCAUGUACACGGCCAGUCGCGCACAUGGCUCAAGAGGUUGGUGCCCGUGCUUCUCUCAGAUCGGGAGGAGGCGCGCAAGCUGGCCGCCUUCCACUUCUGUAUGGAGGCCGGAAUCAAGAUGCGUCAGGGCUGUCCGGAGAUCUUUGACGAAAUCGGCGCCAUUGAGCCACUGAAACAGGUGGCGAGCUCGCCGAACGCUGUGGCCAGCAAGUACGCCGCCCAGGCGCUGCGUGUGCUCGGACAGGAGGUGCCGCACAAGCUCAGCCAGCAGGUGCCACUCUGGAGCGUCGAGGACGUGAAGGAGUGGGUAAAACAGAUAAACUUCUCCCAGUUCGCCGAGGACUUUGUACGCUCCAGGAUGGACGGAGACCUGCUGCUGCGCAUGACGGAGGAGAUGCUGAAGAACGACAUCGGCAUGACCAACGGCAUCCUCCGCAACCGCUUCAUGCGCGAGCUCAACAGCCUCAAGAAGAUGGCCGACUACGCCAGCUGCGACUCGACGGGCUUGAACGCCUUCCUCCAGAGUAUCAGUCCAGAGUUCAGCAUCUACACCUACCCCAUGCUGACCUCAGGAGUCGACAAGGACUGCCUCAGGUACCUCACAGACGAACAGCUUCAGACCGAGUGUGACAUCUCCAACUCCAUCCACCGGCUACGGAUACACGAGGCAAUUAAACACGAGUCGACACCGCCUGAAGUCUCUGAGGAUAUGGACAAAACGCUCGACUGUUUCAUCUCGUACCGUCGCUCGAACGGCUCGCAGCUGGCCUCGCUGCUGAAGGUGCACCUGGAGCUGCGAGGAUUCUCCGUCUUCAUCGACGUCGAACGGCUCGAGGCUGGAAAGUUCGACAACAACCUGCUCAACUCGAUCCGACAGGCGCAGAACUUCAUCCUAGUGCUGACGCCGUCGGCGCUGGAUCGGUGCAUACAGGACUACGAUCAAAAGGACUGGGUGCACAAGGAGGUAUACGCCGCUCUACAGUCCAAGUGCAACAUCAUCCCCAUCAUUGACAACUUCCAGUGGCCAGAACCGGAGGAGCUGCCAGAAGACAUCAAGGCCGUCUGCACAUUCAAUGGAGUCCGAUGGAUCCACGACUACCAGGAGGCCUGCGUCGACAAGCUGGAGCGGUUUAUGCGCGGCGAGACGAACCGUUCAGAGGGCCGGUAUGUUGGUCACGGCGCCGGCCCGGGUACACCGUCGGCCCGGCCCACACCACACCCGUUCUCGCGCACGCAGAGCACAGACUCUGCGCGAGACGCCUAGUGUCAGAGAGCAGUGAGAGUCGCGCGGAGACGCGCCCAGACUCGGGGAGACAGGAUGGUGAUGGGUGUCCGCGGCCACAGUCCCCUGGGUGCGGCCGCGCGCGCCCAGAGUCCCUGCCUGUCCCGGGGGCAGAGUCCGGGCCGGUGGACUCCCAGUCGACCGCCGAUGUCGCCUCUCUCCCCCCGCCGGCUGCUGCAGUACCAGAGGCGCGCCUCGCCAGUCGUCUCCGGCGCCAGACGGCGUGAGAUGACCCGCAGCCGCAGCCUGGACACGAUCCUGGACAGCGGCGCGGGACUCGGCGCCGAGACGCAGUUCCUCAGUCGCUCCGAGGACGAGCUCGGCUGCUGCAGCGGCGAGGACGGCGCAGACGGCGCGCCAGACUCGCCGCAGACGCCGCCGGCUACUGGUGAUGCGCCACCAUCGCCGCCGAUAACGACGGGCGGCGAGUCGACGCCGUGUCGAGAGCUGGAGCGAGAGACCUCGGUGGCAUCGGAGACCAGUCGAGACUCGGAAAUCUCGCGCCAGGGCCGCAAAGGCCUCGUUGGACGGACCUUCAACAAGAUGCGGCACAUGAUUACCAAAGAGAAGUAACCCGGCCGACGCGUGCUGGCAGCUAGGGACUCCGUGGUUGGAUAUUGUGGGUUCUCGGCAGGUGCCUGUGCCGCCGUCGACUUUACAUAGUGGUUGUUAUUCAUUCGUCGCCGUCCGGAGGAUGUUGAAGCUUCGUCAUUGGCCUGCUUCCUUCCAGAAGCCCUGAUGUGGCUGCCUUCCAGUUUGUCUCCUGACCGACAGGGACAGCUGCUGAGCAUUGGAUCUCGAGUUGUAAUGUGUUGAGCGACGUAUGUGUGAACGCACGUUGUAUGUGUCGCUUGUUGGUGUAUGAACGUGCCUUGGUCUACGUGAAAAGAAGCGAGCAGCACGCAUGUGUCAUGUAAGCGAUGAUGUGCUAUCAUGUCUCACCUCUGGGCAAGCUGCAUGAUGUUGAAAGGUGUCCCGUGAAAGAAUGUUAGUGCUGGUGUUUAUAGUUGCGCGACUGGUAAUGUUUUGCUCCAUCAUGUGUGACGUUUUCUGACGUGUUUUAUAAGUUGUGAGAUGCCAGUAGAAACAGUGUUGUUCUUUGAAUAGAUACCCUUUUGGUGCUUGUUGCUCUUGCUUGGUGCGUGUAAUGAGGUUCUAAAAGGCACACAUUGUACUGAUAGCAGUAAGUUAUCACAACGUAUUUGUAAAGCUCUUUUGCGCUGUUAUUUAUGUAUGUGCUGUUAGUAAGUUGAUUCACCAUCAUGCCCUUUUCAUCCAUUUAGCCAUAGUGUGCCGUUACCCAAGUUUUACCACCAGUUUUACCAUCACCCGAACCAACGAGUCGCGUUCAACACUGAUUCAACUGCACUUCUCUGUUCUCUUGAGCCCCUGAGCGCCUUUUUGUCGCCGAUCAAUUGUCUCUCAAGUUCUCGAGCGCUCAUAAAGCUAUGACUCUGACUCAGCGACUCUCUGGUCAGUCUACUGAGCUCCCCGAGACAAACCGUAGUCAAAACUGAGGGCAGAGCGCUUCAGAGCCGCCGCACUUGUGACGGCGCCCUCCUCUGGUAGUCGUCUUAUCCGGUACAAUAUUGUUUAUUUUUCUCUGGUGUGACACAUCUGUGUGAUGUUAAACUGCACCUCAGCUGUUGACACGUUAUUUAAGCGGUUGCGUUUGCUCUGCCUGAUCGGAGCUGACGUGAGAGAUUGCUAAACGUGAAGUGGUUAGUUGAUAUUAAGGUCGGUGCGGAACGGAUGCAUAGUCGUCUAAGCAGUAGCACUGGUCAUGCGUGUAUGAUUCAUUGGCAGGGUGUUUUGUACGCCCGCUCAAGGUUGAAUGUCUGUAGUUUUCAGGUGAUCGUAGAUGCGACGCUACGAAUGUCCAUGUCCAUGUAUGGUUGUCACUUCUGUCCUCAAAUACAUCGGAAAAUCAUCGA